UACGUAGGGUGCAAGCGUUUGUCCGGAUUUAUUGGGCGUAAAGAGCUCGUAGGCGGUUUGUCGCGUCGGAUGUGAAAACCCAGGGCUCAACCCUGGGCCUGCAUUCGAUACGGGCAGACUAGAGUAUGGCAGGGGAGACUGGAAUUCCUGGUGUAGCGGUGAAAUGACGCAGAUAUCAGGAGGAACACCGGUGGCGAAGGCGGGUCUCUGGGCCAAAACUGACGCUGAGGAGCGAAAGCGUGGGGAGCGAACAGG
rnacentral:rRNA from 1 species